UCUACGGGCGGCAGCAGUGGGGAAUAUUGGACAAUGGGCGAAAGCCUGAUCCAGCCAUGCCGCGUGUGUGAAGAAGGCCUUCGGGUUGUAAAGCACUUUCAGUGGGGAAGAAAGCCUUGGGGCUAAUACCCUCGAGGAAGGACAUCACCCACAGAAGAAGCACCGGCUAACUCCGUGCCAGCAGCCGCGGUAAUACGGAGGGUGCGAGCGUUAAUCGGAAUUACUGGGCGUAAAGCGCGCGUAGGCGGUCUGAUAAGCCGGUUGUGAAAGCCCCGGGCUCAACCUGGGAACGGCAUCCGGAACUGUCAGGCUAGAGUGCAGGAGAGGAAGGUAGAAUUCCCGGUGUAGCGGUGAAAUGCGUAGAGAUCGGGAGGAAUACCAGUGGCGAAGGCGGCCUUCUGGACUGACACUGACGCUGAGGUGCGAAAGCGUGGGUAGCAAACAGGAUUAGAUACCCCUGUAGUC
rnacentral:rRNA from 1 species